rnacentral:rRNA from 1 species
CGCUAGUAAUCGCGGAUCAGCAUGCCGCGGUGAAUACGUUCCCGGGCCUUGUACACACCGCCCGUCACACCAUGAGAGUCGGGAACACCCGAAGUCCGUAGCCUAACCGCAAGGGGGGCGCGGCCGAAGGUGGGUUCGAUAAUUGGGGUGAAGUCGUAACAAGGUAGC